CUAGCUUCUGUCUGACUAUUUUACUACACUGAGGUUUUAGAUACAUGUCAUGGUUAAAAAGUGAUUCAGAAGCCUACACAGACCAACUUCUAGAAAGCAACAAACAAGUGCCUACAGAAAAAUUGGAAUUGUGCAGUUCUCUGUGGGCCACAAGCUGAGAAACCAGAGUGAAAAGGAGCAAGUCUUACCGUUAAACUUAUUCCAACAGUACUGACUGAACUGUGCAUAUGAAGUGGAAUCAAGUGGAUGAACAGAGGUUUAAACAAGUCAGUUCAGUAAACUAUACUAUAAGGAUAUGCAUGGAUGAGAAGAUACUGCUGAGGAAGGGUUUCAGUUUGAAAUAACAGGGAAACUUUUUCGGGAAAUGGACCUCUGCAACCAAGAGUGGGAGAAUUCACUAAAAUUUAAGUGUAAAGGCAGCCUCAGAACUGCAUCAUAUAAAGACCUUUUUGUGUUGCUCUUCCUGUAACAGAGCAAAAGAGGCAGGCUGAAACAAAUGUUCAUGCUUUAUGCUCACUUGUAUAAAGGCGAAAAGUAUUAGCAUUUGUGAAUGGGCAGAGGCAGACGUAACCUGUGUGGAGUGUGCAUUAACAGAACAGCAAUUUUUGCAUAUAAAACUAUAGGUAAAAGACAUUAAGUCUUGGGAUGAGCCCUCUAAAUAAGGGAUUUCACAAACAAUUUCUAGGCAAAGGAUUGAUUAUUA